rnacentral:rRNA from 1 species
UUUAACUGAAGAGUUUGAUCAUGGCUCAGAUUGAACGCUGGCGGCAGGCCUAACACAUGCAAGUCGAGCGGAGGAAGGGAGCUUGCUCCUGGAAUCAGCGGCGGACGGGUGAGUAAUGCCUGGGAAUCUGCCUGGUAGUGGGGGAUAACGUCUCGAA